GUCUACGGCCAUUCCACCCUGAACACGCCCGAUCUCGCCUGAUCUUGGAAGCUACGCAGGCAGGUCCAGGCCUGGUUAGUACUUGGAUGGCAGAAC
rnacentral:rRNA from 1 species